rnacentral:rRNA from 1 species
AUGAGCAAAAGGAAAUGGCAAGGGAAUCCCUGUUGCUCUUUCUGCAAGCAGGUAGAAACGGUGCAACACCUGUUUUUUACCUGUCCUGUGGCCAGAAUUAUAUUGCGAUCUAUUGGAGUAGCUCUUGGCACUAAUAGAUGCCCGUCGAACUACUGGCAAUAUUUCGUGUGGUGCCACAAAUUCCUUCCUGAGAAGCAAAAGUUCUAUACGGUGGGCUUAGCAGCUGUAUGUUGGGCCAUUUGGUUGGCACGCAAUCGGGCUACUUUUGAAAAGAAACAAAUUAAGACUCCUUUUGAGAUCGUAUUUUCUCUAUGUUCCUUUCUACUUUACUGGACAGGGCUUCAACAAGGAGAGGACGCCGUGGAGCUGCGUGCUAGAGCCGAGAUGAUCAGGACUGGGACGCUGCAGUUGAUGAAGAUGUGUGGCGCUGCCAAACAACCAAUCCAAGGUGCCUGA